AAGGCUAUACAGAAACUGUCCAACACUUGGACUUUGCACUGUUGCUGAAUGUGGUUAUUAGCUCCGAGAGUUUUUUUUUUAAUAUUUUGGGGUUUUCUUUAUAAAGGAUAGAUCAUCUACAAAUACUUCUUGCUUUUCAAUUUAGAUGAUGUUUCCUUUCCUGCCCAAUUUAUCUGGUUAAAACGUCUGAUACACUGUUGAAUAGAAGAGGCAAGGGCACAUGUUCAUGUCUUGUUCCUGAUAUUGGGAGAAAGCAUCCCGUUUUUCACCACAGAAACGGGGUUUCACCAUGUUAGCCAAGAUGGUCUCGAUCUCCUGACCUCGCGAUCCGCCCGCCUUGGCCUCCCAAAGUGCUGGGAUUAUGCAUUCUCUCUUUACAUCACAAUGACCAUGACCUUGGAUAUGGAGUCCACUCAAAAGUAAUCUGAACUAAUAAACAAAUUCUGCAAGGUUGAAGAAUACAAGGAGAUAUGGAAUCACCAAAGAAUACUGACACAGAAGAACCAAGUAGGAGAGUGUGCAAUUCCCAGUCUCAUAUCUCAUUACAAAACCAAACUAAACAAGGCAUUGGCACAAGAAUAGACAUACAGAUCAAUGGAACAGAACUGAGACCCCAGAAAUAAAACCAAGUGGUCAGCUGACUUUUUGAAAGCUUGCCAAGACCAUCAAAUGGGGAAAAAUUUUUUUAAUAUACGUUGCAGGGAUAAUUGGAUAUAAACAUCCAAAAGAAUGAACUUGGAUGCUUAUCUUGCACCAUAUGCAAAAAUAACUGAAAAUGAAUUCAAGGCUAUAACUAUUAACUCAGAAAAAAAAAAUGAGCUGCAUUUUCAUGA
rnacentral:lncRNA from 1 species